rnacentral:rRNA from 1 species
UACGGAGGGUGCGAGCGUUAAUCGGAAUUACUGGGCGUAAAGCGCACGCAGGCGGUUGAUUGAGUCAGAUGUGAAAUCCCCGGGCUUAACCCGGGAAUUGCAUCUGAUACUGGUUGGCUAGAGUCUUGUAGAGGGGGGUAGAAUUCCACGUGUAGCGGUGAAAUGCGUAGAGAUGUGGAGGAAUACCGGUGGCGAAGGCGACUUACUGGGCUCAUUCUGACGCUGAGGAACGAAAGCGUGGGUAGCAAACAGG